AUGAGCUGCAUCACCGAGCCCCGGUCCAUAACACUGGCGGGCGCCAGUCAAAUCACAUCACCUGAGGCCUUGCAGCAAACAGAGGUACGCAGGCAACCGGCCGCCUGGAAGCAGCUAGCGCGCGCGGCGACCAGCCCUGCACCACCGUCGCCAUCCAUGGAAGCACCCGGGUGUGGGCGUCACCUCCAAGCAGCUGUACCCCUCACCCCACCCCAUGCAGCAGCGGCCGCGCGGACCAUGAGGCAGCAGCCGGCGUUGGACCCUCCUGAUUUCUCAUCUCCAGCGGCGGUGUCUCUCGAUUCCGAACGAGAGAAAGAGAAAUGGGAAAAGGAAGAAAGAAAUGAGUGGAGGGAGAUAAGGUGGGAGGAGAGCGGUGAAUGA
rnacentral:rRNA from 1 species